AUAGUACUCCCUCCGUCUGGAAAUAUUUGUCAUCAAAAUGAAUAAAAGGGGAUGUAUCUAGAUGUAUAUUAGUUCUAGAUACAUCUUUUUUAUCCAUUUUGAUGACAAGUAUUUUCGGACGGAGGGAGUAGUAC
rnacentral:pre_miRNA from 1 species